rnacentral:rRNA from 1 species
AUGCUCUUAGCCAGAUCUCAAUACGGGAAGGCGAGCGCAGGCGGCGGGCGGCCAGCGGCGAGCCCUUUCUGCCAGAUCCCAACAAGGAAAGGCGAGCGGCGGGGAGAAGGCGAGGCGAGGACGCCUCGUGAGAUGGAGGCGGAAGGGCAUUCCGGCAAGUCCGUGGGGGAGCAGCCCCAAGUUCUCCCUGGCCCUGGGAACCCCGAUUCUCGUGGCACCAAGAAUCCCAGAAAGGAUCAAGCUCUGCUCAGACAACUCAGGAAAGAGGAGAAGGAACUCAAGGACGAGGAGAGACAACUGCUGCAGGAGAGAGAGCAGAUGGAGUCGACGGAGGAGCAUCAGAGGUUAGAUUUGUCCAGCCCCGACUGCAGUUCGAUUAAGCAGAGUCGAGAUUUGUUGGAUAGAAUCGAGCGCAACGCACAGCGCCAACUGGCCGUCACCGAUGAAAUCAGGCGCUUGAGCGAGCAGAUGAGGGCUGUCAAAGCACGCAGCCUGACGGAUAUUCAGGGUGUGGAGCACAAGACUGAAGAAACUGCAGCCUUGGAUGAGCGUGAUCCUGCUAAUGGCGGGGAGCUCAAGCCGGAAACUGCAGCCUUGAAUGGGCAUGAGGCUGAUGGUGGUGCUGCUAACGGCGGGGAGCUCAAGCCGGAAACUGCAGCCUUGAAUGGGCAUGAGGCUGAUGGUGGUGCUGCUAAUGGCGGGGAGCACAAGAUGGAAACUGACGCCUUGGAUGAGCAUGGUGAUGCAGCUAAUGGCAGGGAGCGGAUGGUGGAAACUGCCGCCUUGGAUGUCGACGGCGGUGGUGAUGAGGAGCACAUGGACUGCGACAUUUCAUCCAUGGAGGACCAGGUGCCGAGGAUCGACUCCAAAUCAGAGCCAGAGGCAGAGGCGGCGGCGACAGGUCCAGAUACCAAUGUGUCGAUGAUUGAAUCAAAUCUCUCAGCAUCAGACAAGUCAAUACCCAAACCUGCAGAUCAUGUUCCCAUCAACAGAGGCGAUCAUGUUGUUGAGAAGAUGGACAGAGGCAAAUCAGCCGAACAAUUAGCCAGUGAGGCCGCGACGAUGAAUGCCCAACAGCAGAAAUUUGAUCGGUUUGUGGAUGACUGGGAUGCUAAAUGGGGUUCGGCAGGGUUCAAUCUCUUCCAUUACAUGACGACGGUCAGUUGCAUGCAAUAUACACACUUGAUACCCGGGAGCGCCCCAAGGCACAAUUGUCGAGCCGCGCCUAGCCUCCAGGUCGUCUCCAUCAGACUGGCAGAAAUUCAAGGUGGUCUGGAAUGGCCGUUGCCAGUGUACGGUAUGAUUGCUGUCAGAGACCACGUGGAUCACAAUCGCAACCUUCUGUUUGCCUGCUCAGUCAUUGAUGGUGAGGUCGAGUCGCUUGCUCAGUCAUUGAUGGUGAAAUUGACGACACACCCGGGCAACUUGAGCUGCUUGUUUCUCGUGGCAGUGCCAUGCCCGUGA